rnacentral:lncRNA from 1 species
UUACAUCAUCUCAUGGGCCUAGUGCAUGCCCAUGCACCCAUGUAAGAGAUAAACUCAAAAUUAUCCAAAAUUGGAAGUGUGCAAAUAUCAAUCCCAUAGCCUAUAAAUAGAAGUGCAUUGUGAUCAGAACUUGAUGAACACCUUGCCCAAGUUUUGCUAGACCUCUGCAAACCCUCACUGCCAUAGAAUUUUCGUAGAUUUCUUUGAAAUCGAGCUUGAACAUCACCAUCUAUUUGGAAGUUCAAACUCUAGAAAUUCACCUCCAU